rnacentral:rRNA from 1 species
UACAGAGGGUGCGAGCGUUAAUCGGAAUUACUGGGCGUAAAGCGCGCGUAGGCGGCUUUGCAAGUCGGGGUGUGAAAUCCCCAGGCUCAACCUGGGAACUGCAUUCGAGACUGCAUUGCUAGAGUAUGGGAGAGGGAAGUGGAAUUUCAGGUGUAGCGGUGAAAUGCGUAGAUAUCUGGAGGAACACCGAUGGGCGAAGGCAGGUCUCUGGGGCAUUAACUGACGCUGAGGAGCGAAAGCAUGGGGGAGCGAACAGGA